GACGUAGGGCGCGAGCGUUGUCCGGAUUUAUUGGGCGUAAAGAGCUCGUAGGCGGCUUGUCGCGUCGUCCGUGAAAACCCACAGCUCAACUGUGGGCUUGCGGUCGAUACGGGCAGGCUAGAGUUCGGUAGGGGAGACUGGAACUCCUGGUGUAGCGGUGAAAUGCGCAGAUAUCAGGAGGAACACCGGUGGCGAAGGCGGGUCUCUGGGCCGAUACUGACGCUGAGGAGCAAAAGCGUGGGGAGCGAACAGG
rnacentral:rRNA from 1 species